CACGUAAGAGGCAAGCGUUAUUCGUCAUUAAUGGGUCUAAAGGGUACGUAGGCGGUAUAGUAAAUCCUAUUGAAACACGUGAGAGUGGAUUUGAUAAUGCUGUACUAGAGUUUAAAGGGAGUAACAAAUACUUAAGCAGGAGUGUAACAAUAUGGGAAUAACUUAAGGGUUGCUAAGUGGCGAAGGCAUGUUACAAUAUUAAAUUGACGCUGAGGUACGAAGGCAUGGGUAUCGAUCGGG
rnacentral:rRNA from 1 species